rnacentral:rRNA from 1 species
GACGAACGCUGGCGGCGUGCUUAACACAUGCAAGUCGAACGGAAAGGCCUGCUUUCCCUUGUGGAUUGCGGGUACUCGAGUGGCGAACGGGUGAGUAACACGUGAGUGAUCUGCCCCCAACUUGGGUAUAGGCCUGGGAACCUGGGCCUAUUUCCGGUUGGACUGCAGGGUGGUUGCCGGUGGUGGAAAAGGUUUUUCUGUUGGUUGGGGUGGGGCUCCCGGCCUUUAGGCUGGUUGGUGGGGUAAUGGCCUACAAAGGGGGCGACGGGUAGCCGGCCUGAGAGGGUGGACGGCCACAUUGGGACUGAGAUACGGCCCAGACUCCUACGGGAGGCAGCAGUGGGGAAUAUUGCACAAUGGGCGGAAGCCUGAUGCAGCGACGCCGCGUGGGGGAUGACGGCCUUCGGGUUGUAAACUCCUUUCGACCGCGAGGAAGCCACCUGGUUGGAAGGGUGGUGACGGUAGUGGUAGAAGAAGCACCGGCUAACUACGUG